UACGUAGGGUGCGAGCGUUGUCCGGAAUUAUUGGGCGUAAAGAGCUUGUAGGCGGUUUGUCGCGUCUGCCGUGAAAAUCCGGGGCUCAACCCCGGACUUGCGGUGGGUACGGGCAGACUAGAGUGUGGUAGGGGAGACUGGAAUUCCUGGUGUAGCGGUGAAAUGCGCAGAUAUCGGGAGGAACACCGGUGGCGAAGGCGGCAUCCUGGACCAAUAUUGACGCUGAGGAGCGAAAGCCAGGGGAGCAAACGGG
rnacentral:rRNA from 1 species